AGCUUGAUGAUUACAGCCAAUUAUUUUUUGGCAAUAUAUGCUAUUCUGAGAAAGUUAAAAGGGCUAAACUUGGAAUGUAUGAGAGCU